rnacentral:lncRNA from 1 species
AUGGAUCUGGUGAUGGAAGUGGUGGAUAUGGUAGCAGAAAGUUUUAAAAACAGCAGAAAAGGACUACAGUUCUUAGCAGGAGAGAGAGUGAGGAGUUGUCAGGAAAGCUUCAGGUUACUUUGAGACAGUUGUUUCAAAUGCAUUAGAGGAACUGUAAAAAUCUACCACAGAAGGAAUGAUGAUCCAUAGUCAGAAAAGUUACUGCAGCUUAAACAGGAAACCCUUCUUGUUCAGGACUGUCAUAGCCACAGUUUGCAAAAAGUGCAGCUAUUGAUUAAUGCAAUGUACAUCUGUUAGAUGUACAUUCCUGAGGUCUUUUAUCUGUUGUAGCUUUUUCUUUCUCUUUUCAUUAUAUCAGGUGUAUUGAUUGCCCUGUAAAUUGUGGUAGUGGUACCAGGAAUAAAAAAAAUUAAGGAAUUUUUAACUUUUCAAUAUUUGUGUAGUUCAGUUUUUCUACAUUUUAGAACAGAAACUCUAACAAAAUGCAGUUUG